rnacentral:rRNA from 1 species
CCUCCGUGCCCAUAAACGCAUCAGGUCUCCAAGGUUAGCAGCCUCUGGUC